UCGAGAGUUUGAUCCUGGCUCAGAUUGAACGCUGGCGGAAUGCUUUACACAUGCAAGUCGAACGGUAGAGGGGGCAACCCCUCGAGAGUGGCGAACGGGUGAGUAAUAUAUCGGAACGUACCCAGUCGUGGGGGAUAACGUAGUGAAAUUACGCUAAUACCGCAUACGAUCUAUGGAUGAAGCGGGGAUCGCAAGACCUCGCGCGAUUGGAGCGGCCGAUAUCA
rnacentral:rRNA from 1 species